UCCAGAUGCUGGCAUCUAAGAUACUCUGAGAGAUGAAUGAAUGAUAUGCUGUUAUAAAGAUGUACCUGAUAUGAUAUAAGUACACAGAGUUGACUUGUCGUAUUUAUCUUAGUUUUUCACCAUACCAAGGGUGGCUACAAAUAGAAGAUGAUCUUCCAUCAAGUUAGCCCGUAAGGAAAAGGAAGAAUAGUGGGAGAGAUUGUGAACAACUUCA
rnacentral:lncRNA from 1 species